GACGUGAACCGUUUAGGGGUAAACCUGAGAAACCCGAAAGGUCGAAGGGAGAAAUUCAUUCGCGUCUCGCCGCAGGCGGCGGGCGGUCGUGUGACGGAAAGCGUUCGCGUUUUCCGCGCCUUCCGUCCGUCGAACCGGCGGCGAACGCGUGCACUUUUCUCCUGGUAGGACGUCGCGAUCCGUUGGGUGUCGGUCUACGGCUCGCGGUGGAGCCCGUCCGUAUCCGUACGGACGGACCCGCGUGUCCCGGCCGACUGGCUCGACGGUAUACGAAAGGUUUAGGGCCGCUCUAGGAGCGUUCGGCUCGUGGCAAGCGCGCCAGAUGUGUCGGCGAUCGGACCGAGUGCCGAUUCUGACCUCUGGUGACUGUUGGCUACGAUGUUCUCGAACAGACCCCGGACCGAUCUGCGACGCUAUAGCUUUGGGUACAUUCAGGACCCGUCUUGAA
rnacentral:rRNA from 1 species